CAGAAUACCUGCAUACACACAUACAUAUUUAUAGAUACAGACACAUGUGAAUCUCGAUCGUUUUUUCCUAUAAUUUUAUAUAGCACCUUUCCUUUGGAAACCCUUUCAGUUUCACUCACAGACACACGGGGGUUUUCUUAUAAAAGUAUUGUUGAUGUGAACGUAAUUAGAAGGAACACAAAUAAGGAAAGAAAAACAACCCACAUAAUCAGACUGUUGGAAAUGU